rnacentral:rRNA from 1 species
GACGUAGGGGGCCAGCGUUGUUCGGAAUUACUGGGUGUAAAGGGUUCGUAGGCGGUGUGGCAAGUCGGGAGUGAAAUCGUCUGGGCUCAACCCAGAGACUGCUUCCGAAACUGCUGUGCUUGAGUGUGAGAGAGGCUCGUGGAAUUGCAGGUGUAGCGGUGAAAUGCGUAGAUAUCUGCAGGAACACCCGUGGCGAAAGCGGCGAGCUGGACCACUACUGACGCUGAAGAACGAAAGCUAGGGGAGCAAACAGG